rnacentral:rRNA from 1 species
CCUACGUGAGGCAGCAGUGAGGAAUAUUGGUCAAUGGACGAGAGUCUGAACCAGCCAAGUAGCGUGAAGGAUGACUGCCCUAUGGGUUGUACACUUCUUUUAUAUGGGAAUAAAAUGUUCCACGUGUGGGAUUUUGUAUGUACCAUGUUAAUAAGUAUCGGCUAACUCCGUGCCAGCAGCCGCGGUAAUACGGAGGAUCCGAGCGUUAUCCGGAUUUAUUGGGUUUAAAGGGAGCGUAGGUGGAUUGUUAAGUCAGUUGUGAAAGUUUGCGGCGCAACCGUAAAAUUGAAGUUGAAACUGGCAGUCUGGAGUACAGUAGAGGUGGGCGGAAUUCGUGGUGCAGCGGUGAAAUGCUUAGAUAGCACGAAGAACUCCGAUUGCGAAGGCAGUUCACUGGACUGCAAAUGACACUGAGGCUCGAAAGUGUGGGUAUCAAACAGGAGUAGAUACCCGAGUAGUC